rnacentral:rRNA from 1 species
CGAACGCUGGCGGCAGGCCUAACACAUGCAAGUCGAACGUGAAGCUGGAGCUUGCUCCAGUGGAAAGUGGCAGACGGGUGAGUAACGCGUGGGAAUUUACCCAGUGGUACGGAAUAACUCAGGGAAACUUGUGCUAAUACCGUAUAAGCCCUUCGGGGGAAAGAUUUAUCGCCAUUGGAUGAGCCCGCGUUAGAUUAGUUUGUUGGUGGGGUAAUGGCCUACCAAGACUACGAUCUAUAGCUGGUCUGAGAGGAUGAUCAGCCACACUGGGACUGAGACACGGCCCAGACUCCUACGGGAGGCAGCAGUGGGGAAUAUUGCACAAUGGGCGCAAGCCUGAUGCAGCCAUGCCGCGUGAGUGAAGAAGGCCUUAGGGUUGUAAAACUCUUUCACCGGUGAAGAUAAUGACGGUAGCCGGUAAAGAAGCCCCGGCUAACUCCGUG